UGUUGACUUUUUUUAAAAUCAGUGUUUUGUGCAAAAGCAAACACCUUCUUUCUCAUCAAUGUGUGGAGUAUUACAUGGUUUCACUGGAGAAAAUGUACCUCAAACAGCUAUACAAUUAAACAAGUAUCUACCUCAGGAUUUCAAUGAAAUGGAGUAUUGUGGAGUAAUGUAUUUCUACAGGCUCUUUGCACUGCAGGUGUUUUUAUUGGCAUGAAUUUGGUUUCUUACACAAAAUUCUUUUGCAUGUUGUCUAGUUAUUGUGACUGCUGAAUGUAUUGUUGGAAUGAAUCUUGAAUUUUACAGUUGUGUGAAAAAUUAGUGAUGAGCUGGACUGUUGAUUUACAUACAGUCAACUUGAGCUUAAAGUAUCAAAUGCAAUAUAUUUCUUUACAGUUUAUCCUGCCAGCAUAAUCUAUAGGAUUUUUUAGGGAAAUAACUUGCAUCAUUUCAGUAAAAAAAAGUUUUUUUGUCAGGGUAUGUCUGUGUGAACAGAUCAAUGUGUACACACACUUGUGUUCUUUGUGAGUUUUAGUUUGUUUGUUCAGAUGGUGAAAUACAGGACCGGCUGUUUACCGUAAUCAUAAAUGUCAGUCUAAACUGUCUGCAUUGGUCUUACAGCAUAUUAACCAGUAGAUACUGGUACCUCAGGUUUUUAAUGGACUGGGACAUGUUUCCUGUGGACUUUGCACUGCCGGUUAUUUGCACUAUUUUUGUGUCAUUAUGAUCAUCUUCCAAAAGGAAAUUGCUCAUAAAUGUUUGCCUACCUCGACAGGUAAAUGUUUUGUAAGUUGUUUUUUUUGCCAUUUUCCUUUGGUCUUGUUAAACGUUUGUACAGUACUGAGCUGAAGUUUAAGUAUCAAAAGAAAGGUAUGGAGUUGAACAGGGUAUGUAAUAAAAUGCUGUUUAUUUUAACUGUAUUGCUGAUUGUUGUAUAUGGCAAUAAGUGAACUAAAACUGCACAAUCUUAACUUAA